UACGUAGGGGGCUAGCGUUGUCCGGAAUCAUUGGGCGUAAAGCGCGCGUAGGCGGUCAGGUAAGUCCGGUGUGAAGGUCAAAGGCUCAACCUUUGAAUGCCGCUGGAUACUGCCUGACUUGAGUCCGGAAGGGGCGAGUGGAAUUCCAGGUGUAGCGGUGAAAUGCGUAGAUAUCUGGAGGAAUACCGGUGGCGAAGGCGGCAUCCUGGACCGGCAUUGACGCUGAGGAGCGAAAGCCAGGGGAGCAAACGGG
rnacentral:rRNA from 1 species